UUUCAGUGUCCCCAAUAUAGCCAUUUAAGAAAUAAAUUUAAUUUAAAAAAAAAGAAAUAAAAUACAAUUCAAGCAAAGGGCCUUUUGCUUCUAAGUAUUUAUAGAUUGAAUUUAAAUUGUUUUGUGAUUUAUUAUUAAUUGUUAUAUAAAUAUCAGUUUUCAUUAAGUAGAACAUUCAUCCUAAAUCCCACAACGAUUUAAAAUCUAUCCGGGGCAGGUCCAGGUGAGGGCGUAAUGGACGUAUGCCCCUCCCCCCCUUUAAAAAAAAAAAAAAAAAACUCGUUAUCUGAUAAUAUUGUAUUGAAUAUGGCAAUUUAUGCAUUUCACAAUUAUUUUAUGUUUUUUAGCAAAAAAAAGGUCCAAAAAUUUUUUAUACUCGCUCCGCUCGGCGAAAGAUUUGAUUCUACGCCCCCUCUUUCAAAUAUCCUAGAAAUGCCCUUGUCAUUCUGUAAAUAUUUCGAAACGAUCACCCCUCUGCUUAAUAUUCUCAUAGUAUCGGAUGAAUAUAAUUUUCGAUUUGAUCUGUCCGAUUAUGAUAGAUAGGUAAUGUAAUGAAUCAUUUAGGAUUCAGUUUUAUGAUUUAGUUAAUUUUUAUACGACUACAAAAAAAAUUUGCGGUCGAAUAUUGGUACCUUGUUGUCGUCCGUAGUCACUUAGUUUCAGGACAAUGUCUUUAGUGUAAGUGAAUGGAUCUCUAUGAAAUUUAAACACAAGGUUUGAAACCACAAAAGGAUGGUAGGGAUUGAUUUUGGGGGUUAUGGUCCCAACAGUUUAGGGAUUAAGGGCCUAUAAAGGGGUCCAAAUAAGCAUUUAUAUACGACCGCAAAAAAAAAUUUGUGGUCGUAUAUUGGUAUGACUUCGUCGUCGUCGUCGUCCAAAAACACAUUUGUUUUUCGCACUCUAACUUAAGUUUAAGUGAAUGGAUCUCUAUGAAAUUUUACCAUCAGGUUCAAUACCACAAAAGGAAGGUGGGGAUUGAUUUUGGGGGUUAUGGUACCAACAGUUAAGGAAUUAGGGGCCAAAAAUAAGCAUUUUGUAACUUCCAGACAUAACUUGUGUGUUAGUGUAUGGAUCUCUCUGACAUUGUUACACAAGGUUCCAUAUCACAAAGGGAAUGCUGGGAUUGAUUUUGGGGGUAAUUGCCUCCAAAUUUUAGGAAUUAGGGGCCAAAAAGGGGCAAAAACAAGCAUUUUUCUAGUUUUAUGACAAAAACUUGUGUGUAAGUGUAUGGAUCUCUCUGACAUUGUACCACAAGGUUCCAUAUCACAAAAGGGAAUGCGGGGAUUGAUUUUGGGGGUAAUUGCCUCCAAAUUUUAGGAAUUAGGGGCCAAAAAGGGGCAAAAAACAAGUAUUUUUCUAGUUCAUGACAAUAACUUGUGUGUAAGUGUAUGGAUCUUUAUGAAAUUGUACUACAAGGUUCCAUAUCACAAAGGGAAAGCUGGAAUUGAGUUUGGGGGUAAUUGCCAAAAACGUUUAGGAAAAAGGGGCCAAAAAUAAGCAUUUUUCUAGUUUCCAGACAAUAACUUGUGUUCAUGUGUAUGGAUCUCUCUGAAAUUGUACUGCAAGGUACCAUACCACAAAGGGAAGGCUGGGAUUGAUUUUGGGGGUAAUUAGGAAUUAGGGGCCAUAAAGGGGCAAAAAAACAAGCAUUUUUCUAGUUUCAGGACAAUAACUUGUGUGUAAGUGUAUGGAUCUUUAUGAAAUUGUAAUGCAAGGUUCCAUAUCACAAAGGGAAAGCUGGGUUUGAGUUUGGGGGUAAUUGCCCUAAACGUUUAGGAAUUUGGGGCCAAAAAGGGGGAAAAAAACAAGCAUUUUUCUAGUUUCCAGACAAUAACUUGUGUUCAAGUGUACGGAUCUCUCUAAAAUUGUACUGCAAGGUACCAUACCACAAAGGGAAGGCUGGGAUUGAGUUUGGGGGUGAUGAAUCAUAAGGGGGUUCAAAAAAUUUGGGGAGGGGGGAUUUUUUUUUCCUUUUUUUUUCUUUAAAAUUUUCAAUUUUAAAUUGGUUAUAUCUGAUUUAUAUAUAAAAGCAAAUAAUAAUGAUAUGGUUUGAAUACUAGGUAAAUUAAAAAAAUUAAAGUUCUUAGACUACAUUCAUUCUGUGUCAGAAACCUAUGCUGUGUCAAAUAUUUAAUUACAAUCCAAAUUCAGUGCUGUAUCAAGCUUGAAUGUUGUGUCCAUACUUGCCCCAACUGUUCAGGGUUCGACCUCUGCGGUCGUAUCAAGCUGCGCCCCAGCGGAGCAUUUUAUUCUAGUUUCCAGACAAUAACUUGUGUGUAAGUGUAUGGAACUUUCUGAAAUUGUACCACAAGGUUCCAUACCAAAAUGGAAGGUUGGUAUUGAUUUAGGGGUUAUGGCCCUAACUGUUAAGGAAUUAUGGUCCAAAAACAAUACUUUUCUAAUACUUUGUAUAAAUUGCUUAUUUCUUGACCAAUUUCAAUGGGGUUUUAUUAUUGAAUUCUUGGGUUUUUUAAUAUGCUGAAUCUUAACCAUGUAUUAAUUUUUUGGAUUUUGGGCCCCGUUUUUUAAAUUGGUCCACAUUGAGGUCCAAAGGGUCUAAAAUUAAACUUUGUUUGAAAAAUUGAAUUAUUGGGGUUCUUUGAUAUGCUGAAACUAACUGUGUAUUUCAAUUUUUAAUAUUUGGUCCCGUUUUCAAAUUGGUCUACAUAAAGGUGUAGGGUUCAAAUUUAACUUAGUUUCAUUUUAACAAAAAUUGAAUUCUUAGGGUUCUUUGAUAUGCUGAAUCUAAACAUGUAUUUAGAUUUUUUAUUAUUAAUAGUUUUCAAGUUGGUCUAAAUCAGGGUCCAAAAUUAAACUUUGUAUUACUUAUAAA